UCCGAUGGCCCAGUCUCCAUGUCCCAUAGUGGGAUUCAAACCCGCAAUUUAAUGAUCGACUCCUUACUUCAGGACUCUAAAGCAGAUGCUCUAACCACUGCGCCACCAGAGCACCUUUAUUAAAGAGGACAGAUAUUUUGCAGUUCAUUAUUUAAAUGAUUAAAGACCAGAUGAUUUUUAAGAUCAAUUUUAUAUUUCAUGGUGAAUUCAUCUAUAUGUACACUAUUGAGGUCAAGGAUCACAGAGAAACACAGCACAACAGAAGGCCUGUUUCUUUUUAACCAGUUUGACGUUUUGAGGGAGGGUCGGACUGUCUUUUAUUCUCACUGAGAAUAUAGGU